UACCUUAUAUGCUUGGUGAACAAGUUUCUCUUAAUUAUAAAACUCAAGGAAAAAACUAGAUUAUGUCAUAGAUAUUGUUUCUGGAAAACAUACAUUAUCUCCUCAAGAGACUGUUCUGAAGUUGGCAGAAAUGAACUAUGCAUUCCUGAGUAUGGUUAUCAUUGGUAUCAUCUAUAUCAUUGUUAUGUUAAUUUCCGGACUUUUCUUCUUUUGUUGUCGUUUUUGUGGACGUUGUGGUGCCAAAAAUAGCCAAAAGCAACGACACACUGAUAACUGCUGGAGGAAUUUCCAUAAGUUCUGUCUAAUAUUCAUGAUAGCUUUUCUUGUUGUACCUAUUGUCUGCAUGUGCAUCAUUAAUCAACACAUGAUGCACUCAUUCCCAAAUGUUAAAGGAAAUGUUACAGAAGUUUUUAAUAUUGUACAUAAUUUUGCCAAUGAUACUGACAAGGAUGUUGAUAAUGCUCUUAAAGAAGCACAGGGUAGUCCAAUAAAAAACUAUGAAGCAUUUAAGGCUAAUUUUGUGGAACUAGUACAUGAAAAUAUAUCCAGCUCAAUAGAUCAUGAGAAAUUAGAAGACAUAAAAAACAUAGUUACUUGGGUCUUGUCUGUUGAAAACCAAUAUGAUGCUGUAGUCAAUGCAUCUAUAUUAUCUGACGCUGUAAAACAUCUGAAGUCUAGCAUUUCAAGCAUAAGGGAACAUAUGAAGAGUAUUCAUAACUGUACAAAUUCUAACAAAAAACUGUGCCAAUUGACUUUGCAGGAUUUGCCUAUAGAACGCAUCAAUAUUGAUGAUGCUUAUACUCAUGUUCAUGAGGAAUUUCAGAAACUGAUUAAAGCAAACUUCGAUCAAUUAAGAAGUGUAAUAGAUCAGAUACAAAACAACACCUUUUUAAGAAAUAAGAUAGAACAGGAGAGUGAAAGUUUGAAACGUUUUGUUGAAGAAGCUACUACAGAUGAUAAAACUGUUGCUAAGAAAAUUAAAGAAGAAACAAAAUAUUAUACUGAUAAGAUGAGAAAAUUUUCUAAAAUUGGAAAGGAAGAAUUGGAAAGUCGUUUUAAAGAAACUGAUGGAAUUGAACCAUACAGGUGGUGGGUUAUGUUUGGGAUAGCAUUGGUUUUAUUGCUGCCUGUAUUACUACUCACACUUGGACUUGUGUGUGGGUGUUGUGGACAUGAAAAAGAACGCCACCCUACAAAGAGGUCAUCUGCAUCUAACUGUGCUGGAUAUUGCUUUAUUUUGGCUGUUUAUUACUUUUUCUUGGUAUCUUCAGUAUUAAUGUUAGCUACAGUUGCUCUUUUUAUUGUUGGAGGAAAUAUGCAGUCAUUUGUUUGCAUUCCACUGUAUGAAGAAAAGUUUACUCUUUUAGAUGAUAUAACCCGAAAGAUAUCAACUAUCGAAAAUAACACUAUAUUACAGCGACUGAAGCCAAGUAAAUUCUUAAACGAUUGCUAUCAUGACCAAAGCAUAAUUUAUGCUAUUGGAUUUCUUGAUCAAAAUGACUCUAUGUCUUAUGAGAAACUUCUGACGCAAGUUGAUCUGAUGAAUGAAGCAGAUAGUGAAGCAAUAAAUGAUAAAUUGAAAUCGGCUCUGUUAGAAAUAACUUCAGGAAUACGAGAGAAACUCCAUCAAUUUACAACUGCUUUAAGUCUUGGUGAAUUGAAGGAGAUACCAGAAAAGCUCCAAGAGUUUUUGAGAACAUCUAAGUUUAGAAUAAAUGACUUUGUGCAUAAAGUAAGAACUGCUUUGGAAGAGGAAGGUGGGGAAGAUCUCGAUAGAAAUCUGUUACUAGUCAACAGUUCAGCAGAGAUGCUUUAUGAUGAAGUUCAUGAUUUUGAAAGGAAACUGAACAACUUUUCCUCUACUUUGUUAAACAUAUAUGAUGAAGCUGACCAUUACCAGUCUCUAAUUGAAGGAAUUGAAGACAGUUUAGAUCAAGUUGAAGAGAAGUUACCUUAUGUUGUUAAAGCACAACUCUUUCAUGCAGCUGCAGAAUCUGGUGGAAUCAAAGAUAUGGUCAAAAAUAUUGGUAAAUGUUAUCCUCUAUGGUUUGCUUUUGAGAUUUCCAGAGUUGCAGCUUGUGAUUUUGUGAUAUAUCCAGUGAAUGGAUUCUGGUUUGCACUUGGCUGGGCUUUAGUUUUUAUCAUUCCUACAAUCUUUUUUUCUGUAAAGUUGUCAAGGCAUUAUAUCCGCAUGAAAUAUGAUGACGAUACAUACAUUUUUCUUACAGGGUUGACUGUGGAGAAGCUGUUCCUUUAGAAGAUAUGAGUAGAACUAAGCCUUUUUCAUACACAAACCCAGGAGCAAUGAGUUGGAUGCCUCAGUUUAACCCUCAUCAGAAUUAUAUGGUGCACCCAACCUCCAAUGGUCAAACUCGCCACUUUAAUUACAAAUAAAUCUAGGAUCUACGUGAGUGCCUUUUGUACAGAUUGCUGAAAGCAGUGUGAAUAUUGAAGAUUGUAAAUUUUUUCUUCAGCUUUUGUUUGUAUAUGUUGAUGUUGUUUCCUUAUAAUAUAUUAAGUAGUUAAAUAAAAACGUUGUUACAUUUCAAAUUUUAAUUCUUUUAAAAACUGCUAUAUUACUAUGACCUUGCUUCUUUUAAUCUGUUAAUUAAAUUGUCAAAGGUGUUAAAUUAAUUGGUGCUUUUUAUAGUUCAAUUUUAAAGUAUUUAAACAAAUCUGUUGCACAUUGUACGCUUAUAAUGAUUUCCGGUGCCUGAAUUUGUAGUUACUGCUAAAAGCUGUUUAAGGUAUGUGAUAAAUUCAUAUUUGUUGAGCACAUUGUUCAAAUUCUAAUCUUGUUUGCAUCAUGCAAUAAUUUAAGUAAUGGUAGCUAUUGCUUGUUUUUUGAUAAUUCAUUUGUGAUUUAAAUUUGCUGAAUUCUUACUAAAUUAAAAUCUUCAAUGCACAGGAAAAGUGUGAUAUUUUUAAUAAUUCCAUUGGACAGCUCUAUUUCUGUGGUACAAUACAUAUAUCUUCAAUGUCUGAAUGUUCUACUAUAUUAGCACAUGCAUAUGCACAAUAUCCAUAUCGCAAAACCGUGCACAUCUGAUGCACAAUGAAUGCUUCCGUGUCCCGUUUGAACGAAAUACUAAGAACGAAAUAUGGUCUAUAGUUUUUCUUUGGCUUUAUGCAGUUUUUAAAUGUUCAUAUAGCAAACAUGAAGAGUUGAAUGUAUUUUGCAAUAAAAAAAUAUUUUGAAUUGUAAAAAGUGGCAAGAUUUAUAGAUAUUUUGCCAUAUUGUUCAGUAUUCUUGUACUAAGGAUUUAUCUGUCAUCCAUUGCAAAUCCCAUAGAUUUCAUUGUAAGUGUUCAUCCUCCUAUGUAAAUUGCUAUAUUUCACAUUUCAUCAAUGGAAUAUUUUUUUGCUAGAAUCUAGUUUUCUGUGUCAAUAUUUGUAUCGUCUUGUACAUAAAUGAUGUAUUUAACAUGUCAAAACAAUGUUUUAAUUUAUUGAUUUUGUUUUUAGUGGGUUUAUAUGCUGUGAUGUUAGUGGCAGAAUUUACUUAAAUGAUUUAACUCCUAAAUGUCAUAGUUUUGUAGUUUUUUAAAUUUCUCUAGUCUUUGUACUCCUUUCCAAGACUUUGUGCAUUCAUAUGAAUUUUAAACUUUUUCCUCUCAUUCUGUUUUAGUGAUGGAUGGCAUUAUCAUGUCAUAUAGACAUAUAUAUGUCAUAUCAUCUAGAAUAUGUCAAAAUAUUGAUGUAUCGCGUUGCAUAUCUAAUUUUUGUUUCCCAAAUAACAUUUCCUUCCACUCACAAUAAUAUUGUAAUCGAUUAUUAAAUUUAUGGAUAAUAAUCAAUUUUAAUUAUUGAUGAUGAUUGCAAUAUUAUCAUAUCCAAUGAUUAUCCUUAUUGAUAAUACUAGUGACAUUAUUGUAUUUAGUAUUAUUUUCAUGACAAUAACUGUAACUUCCAUACUUUUUAUGAACAUAUUCUAAUUUAUUUUAUAAUCGUUACUAGAACGUCAAUAAUUCACGAUAUACAGCCAUGGCUUAACCACAAUAUUUUUUUCUAUUUGUGGAAGUUAAUUCAAUUAUAUAACGUAUUAAAUUAUAAUACUAAUACUUUAUCUGUAGUAUUUAUAAUUUAAUUGAGAUUUUGCUUAAGUUAUACUUGGUAAUAUUAGGAAAAGUUAUUAUAAAUAAUUUCCUUUUUCUUUCAUCUUUUUCUAUUUAUUAAAAGAAAAAAUCACUUUUCUAUUAACUAACUAACUUGAACAUGUUAUUUCAACUAACAAUUAGUUCCUAAAUAAUUCCUUAAACCUAUUUCUAUAAGUUUUCAAAAGAAAUAUAUCAAAAUAUAUCUUUAUAAUAUUACUCAUAAUUUUAAAUCAAGUAGUUCAACAAAAUGUGUAUCUAAUCUUGAUAAUAAAAUUUAAAUUAUUUAAGUUUAAUUUAAAUUUUAAAAAAAAAUUCACAAUUUGUCAUCAGAAUGAAACCUUUUUUUUUUUAAAUAUAAUUUAAAUCAUUUGUACUUUUUCAUUAUCUGGUCACUAGAGAAAAAAAAUUAAGUUUUGUUAUCAAAUUAAAGGAAGCGUAAAGAAAAAACAUCUUGAAAUAAAAAUCUGAAAAUCAGAAUAAAAUGUUUGUUACUAACAGGUUAAAAACAAUGAACUAAAUUUAGUUAAUACUAUUUUUCUUAAUACUUAAAAUACUUGGUGGCCAUUUUGGCAAAGGGAUUUUAAUCUGGUACCCAACUAACAGAUUACAUUCCAAAAUUUUACUGCCUUAAAUACUUAAAAGUAAUAUUAAUAGUAUUCCUUAAAUGUUAUAUAAUUACAAUUAACAUUUUUAGACUCCUAUGAUUAUACACUUUUUUCUCUAUGCAAUUCAAAACUCGUCCACUGUAGCUACGUUUACUUUAAAAUUUGCCUUAAUUUAGCAACGAAAUGUAUCUUAAGGAUAGUUUUCUAUUGAAGGUAGCAGUUUUACAUAUACAUUUAAACUAAAUGCUUGUGGAAAACUCUUCAGUGUGCAACUUGUAAAAAUUACAUUGGUAACAUUUAGAAGUUAAAUCAUUUGUCCUGCCUCUUUAAUUGCCUUAAUGUGUUAACUAUGUUGUAUGAUUUUUUCAGUAUUUAAUUCUUUUACUUCUGCAAGACGUGGAUUCAUUAUAUUUACUUUUCAAUGUUGUAUUUUUCUGAACGGAAAACAUUUUUCAAGAAACAAAAACUUUAUAUUUAGAAAGAGUACCUUGUUGCCAGUUAAAUUGUCUUCCGCCUUUAACGAGACAUAUUUUUUAGUCUAUUGAAAGAUUAGAUUUUAAUGGAUUGACUCAGCCUGUUUUGUAUUAUAGACAUUAUGUUGAAUUUUAAACGAACAAAGUACCUAAAAAAAAAUAUCCGUCUGAUUAACCUUCAUCAAUCCUCUGUUGGAGAUUGAUUUGAUCAAACAUAAAAAUGAUAUUGUGAAUAUUUCACGUUUUACAGAUGUGCCAAAUAUUUAGUGUGUAAUUUUAUUGAACUUGUGAUAAUAAAGUGUCAUUAAUGUCAA